rnacentral:rRNA from 1 species
UAGGGAAUCUUCGGCAAUGGGGGCAACCCUGACCGAGCAACGCCGCGUGAGUGAAGAAGGUUUUCGGAUCGUAAAGCUCUGUUGUAAGAGAAGAACGUGUGUGAGAGUGGAAAGUUCACACAGUGACGGUAACUUACCAGAAAGGGACGGCUAACUACGUGCCAGCAGCCGAGGAAAUACGUAGGUCCCGAGCGUUGUCCGGAUUUAUUGGGCGUAAAGCGAGCGCAGGCGGUUUAAUAAGUCUGAAGUUAAAGGCAGUGGCUUAACCAUUGUUCGCUUUGGUAACUGUUAAACUUGAGUGCAGAAGGGGAGAGUGGAAUUCCAUGUGUAGCGGUGAAAUGCGUAGAUAUAUGGAGGAACACCGGUGGCGAAAGCGGCUCUCUGGUCUGUAACUGACGCUGAGGCUCGAACGCGUGGGGAGCAAACAGG